rnacentral:tRNA from 1 species
AGAAACUUAGGUUAAUUAGACCCCGGACCUUCAAAGCCCAAAAUAGAAGCAUAACUCUUCUAGUUUCUG